rnacentral:rRNA from 1 species
UGAGNUUGGAUCCUGGCUCGGAAUGAACGCUGGCGGCACGCUUAACACAUGCAAGUCGAACGAGAUCUUCGGAUCUAGUGGCAGACGGGUGAGUAACGCGUGGGAACCUGCCCAGUAGUAGAGAAUAACUUGGGGAAACUUAAGCUAAUACUUUAUACGUCCUUCGGGAGAAAGCUUUAUGCGCUAUAGGAUGGGCCCGCGUUAGAUUAGUUUGUUGGUGAGGUAAUGGCUCACCAAGGCGACGAUCUAUAGCUGGUCUGAGAGGAUGAUCAGCCACACUGGGACUGAGACACGGCCCAGACUCCUACGGGAGGCAGCAGUGGGGAAUAUUGGACAAUGGGGGCAACCCUGAUCCAGCGAUGCCGCGUGAGUGAUGAAGGCCCUAGGGUUGUAAAACUCUUUCGUCAGGGAAGAUAAUGACGGUACCUGAAGAAGAAGAUCCGGCUAACUCCGUGCCAGCAGCCGCGGUAAUACGGAGGGGUCUAGCGUUAUUCGGAAAUACUGGGCGUAAAGCGAGCGUAGGCGGAUUUGUAAGCUGGAGGUGAAAUCCCAGAGCUUAACUCUGGAACUGCCUUCAAAACUACAUUUCUUGAGUUGGGUAGAGGAGAGUGGAAUUCCUAGGGUAGAGGGGAAAUUGUAGGAUAUUAGGAGGAACACCAGUGGGGAAGGGGACUCUCUGGGCCAAUACGGACGCUGAGGUUGGAAAGCAUGGGUAGGGAACAGGAUUGGAUACCCUGGUAGU